rnacentral:rRNA from 1 species
AUUGAACGCUGGCGGCAGGCCUAACACAUGCAAGUCGAACGAGGGGCGGACGGGUGAGUAAUGUCUGGGAAACUGCCCGAUGGAGGGGGAUAACUACUGGAAACGGUAGCUAAUACCGCAUACCAUCGGAUGUGCCCAGAUGGGAUUAGCUUGUAGGUGAGGUAACGGCUCACCUCGGCGACGCUCACUAGCUGGUCUGAGAGGAUGACCAGCGACACUGGGACGGAUGCACGGUCCAGACGACGACGGUGUGGCGCAGGGGGGAAUAUUGAGCAAUUGGGGGGAGCCUGACUGAGCCAUGGCGCGUGUAUGAAGAAGGACUUCGGGUUGUAAAUUACUUGCGGCUGGUAGGCGUUACCCUCAGAAGAAGCACAUGCUAACUCCGUGCCAGUAGCCGCGGUAAUUC